ACAACACCUGCAACUUUAACAGCAGUGGGAGUGGGGAGUGGACAAGGUUAAAAUAUAGGGCCCAUCCUAUGUGGAUUGUAGAGAAAUUAGAUUCUACUUUUUAACCUGAACAGAGUCACCAGAUUUAAAGGGAUGUGAGGCUUACACGCAUUUUCAUGUACCUAAUUAUGAACACUUUGUAUGGUUAUUCCUAAAGCCUGCAUUUGCUUUCUUAAGGCUAAUUUCCCUAGUUCCUGGGGGUCACCUUUAAUUUGAGCUAUGAUUUGGGGGUGGCUGACCAAACAAAAUCUUAUAGAGCAAAUACCCAGUUUAUUUGGUGGGGGUGCACCUGACUCGGAGGAGGACCAUAGGCAAAAACCUGAUGCUAUCUCUAAUGAAUUUCCUGGCAAUAUUUCUUCAGUAGCUGCUUGAGUGUCCAGUUCAUACGUUCUACCUUUUCCUGAACUUUGCAGCUGAUACGCUGUAUGUAACUUUCAUUUUAUUUUUAACAGUCUUGUUAAAUUUUGCACUAUUUCAGCUACAAAUGCUGGCCCAUUGUCUGAAUAUAAAGUUAGAGGCAGUCCAAACCUGGGGAUAAUGUUUUUUAACCGUACUUUAGUCACUUCUUGUACUUUUUCUGUCCUGGUGGGGAAAGCUUCAACCUGCCCUGAAAAGGUGCAAUCAAGCACUAGCAUGUACCAGUAGCUGGCACGGGGCAGUUCUGUAAAGUCUAUAAGCAAGUUUUCACAAGGCAUGGCUCCUCCUCCUGUUCAGUUUCCCAGAGGAGGGGUUCUUUUUCUCCUCUUUUGUAACUCCAUCUAGUGGCUUAGCCAUCAGUGAGAAACUGGAAUCCAGAUAUAGCAGAAUCCUGCUGCUUUUAACUUCUAAUGUGACUGUGGGCUCCUGAAAGCCUAAUGAGAAGGUGCUCGGUCUGUCCAAGUCCUUACAUCCUUCAGCUUCUGCCAGCCUGAUCAGAUCAGUAUUUGGUUUCUCCAAGGUGUGGCAGCCCUUGGCCAAUGGCCUCUUUGUCUCGUGGCCUUGGCCAUUUCCCUCAUUGCCUUCUGAACAUUCAUCCUUCCAGUGUCCUUUCUUUUUUCAUCUCACACAUUAAUCUCUUUCUAGCCUUGUCCUGCUCUUGAAUCCUUGCCUAACUUGACUUCUUCCACCUCUAUGUCUGUGUCCACUGUGUUCUUUCACAUUGCUAAUCUCUCUUUCUAUAAUAGCUGUUGCCAACAAUUGACCUUUUUCUUAAGCCUUCAAUUUACUUUCCUUUUUCCUUCCUGAGUUCUCCUGCUCCUGCAGCCAGCCAGUGGGGCUGGGCAUUGGCACGGGCCCUGCCCCUGCACACUGCCAUCUGUCUCUCCUGUUUCUUUCUGAUUUCCCUUUUACUUUCUUCUUUCCUUUCUCACACUUACUCUUACUUUCUCCUUUCCUUCUUCCUUGCUCUUCUCCUGGCGUCGGUUCCCAGGCCCCUCUUUUUCCAGAUAAAGCUGGGCUGGGGAGAGGGACUUAACCCUUGGCAUGCCUAGCUGCUGUGCUUGUUGCUUUUGCUCUUUCCCAUUUUGUUCCCUGGUCACAGUUAACAUACACCUUUGUGGCCACUUUUAUAGACUGGGUGGUAUUCAUGCCUGCAACUUCUGCUUGAUGUCACCCUGGGCUUGCCCUACAAAUGAAGUAUUUACCAUAUGCUGAUGUUCAGCAGAGUUAAAUGGGGUGUAAAGCCAGAAUGCUUCACAGAAUACCUCAUAAAACUGACUUAGGCUCUCGUCAGCUCCCUGAAGCACUUCUGAAAUCUUCCUUAUAUUAAUUGCUUUCCUUCUACCAACUCUUAGCCCCUGCAGAAGUGCCUCUAGCUAACUCUGCAAAUGCUGGAGCUGAGUUGCAUCCUCUGGGUCCCAGGUGGGAUCCUGGUCAUCAUAACAGAUAAGUCCUUGCAUCUUCCUGAGAGGCAUUUGCAUAGCUUGAGCACAGCCAGAUCUGAGACGGCCCACUUGACUCUCUUGACUUCUUUCCGUGGCCUCUCGGGGCUCUGAUCCUCCCUUUCGAGAAGAUAAUUAGAAUUAGAUAAGGUCAUCGUGUUGCGGCCCUCAUGAUUGAACUGGUGGCUUUAUAAGAAGAAAAGAAAGGGGAAUGGCCAAGAUGGCUGAGUAGAAACAGCGCCUAUCUGCAGCUCCCACUGAGACGAACAAAAAGGUGAGUGAUUUCUGCAUUGCCAACUGAGGAACCCAGGUUUUUUCUUUGGAACUGAUUAGGCAGUUGGUGCAACCCACGGGGAGCAAGGGAAAGCAGGAUGAGGUGACAGCUUCACCUGGCAGCUGCACGUUGCAAAGGGACCUUCCUUUCCCCAGCCAAGGGAGGAGGUGAGGGAAUGUGCUGCCUACCCGGGGCACGAUGCUUUUCCCAUGGAUUUUUGCAACGCGUGGGUCAAGAGAUUCCCUCGUGAGCCUACACUACCAGGGCCUUGGGCCCCAAGCACAAAACUGGGCAGACUCAUGGCAUAGCUGCUCUGUUGGGCGUCUGUUUGGGCAGGCACUGAGCUGCAGGAGUUUUUACAUAAUCUGGCGGCUCCCAGAACUCCAGAGGCAGAAGAUCUGUCCAUUCUUGUGUAAAGGGGCCUGAGGCCAGGGAGCCAAGCAGCCUUGCUCAGCGGGUCUCACUCCCAUGGAUCCCCGCCAGCUAAGACCUACUGGCUUGGAAUCCCGGCUGGCCAGUACAGCAGCCUGGAGUCUGCCUAAGAUGACUGAGUCUCUGGCGGGAGAAGCGACCGCCAUUACUGCAGCUCUAGUCGGUGGUUUCUCCCUGCCAGGGCUAGGGAGCCUGGGUGGUUUGGACUAGGCAGUAUUCCCCCACAGCACAGCACAGCACAGUGGCUGUGGCAGAUUGUGGCCAGACUGCUUCUGUAGGUGGGACCUGGAUCCAUCUUCCUCACUGGGCAGGGCUAUAUUUGAAGAUGAGGCCUCUAGGAGUGUAAUUAAGGUUAAAUUAGGUCAAAAUUAUUAGCUUCCGUAUAGGAAAAGACACUAGAAAGUGUUUCUCAUUCACCUGCCUUGUGAAAACACAGUUAGAAGGCUGCUGUCUGCAAGCUACAAAGAGGACCCUCACUAAAAACCAACCCUGCCAGACCUUUACCUUCUAGCUUCUGGAACUAAAAGACAAUAAAUUUCUAUUGUUUAACUCCACUGGGAGUUAAGGCUUCAGCAUAUAAAUUCUGGGGGGACACACAAACAUUGAAUCUGCAGCAGUUACUUAAGAGUACAAUUUUUAAGCACCAAUGGUAGGUCAUCUCCUUCUGUAUAAUAAAAAAGAAGAGGGAAUGAUCAACUGCAGACGAAGGACAAAGGCACUGUUCCUUCCUUUUUUCUACUUUUCUGAGCUCUGAUUUUAUUUACCAUAGCUUUAGGUUAAUAGGAAAAACUACAGUUUUUACUUAAAAUAUCAAAAGUUCAUGUUAGUGCUCUUUUUCUCUCUCUAUAAAAUACUGAACAAUUUCAAUCUUGUAAUAAACACACUAAUUAUGUAUAAGCAAUGGGGCAGAUAGGCCAAAUUAACAGUUUACUACCAUCCUCUUAAUUACUAUACCUGGGAGAUAGUUAUUAUGUCUUUUUAAAGGCGCAUCCUGGUACAGGCAGUGAGUUAAGCACUUUCUACGCACCUUACCCAAUUUAAUUCUAACAACUACCCUCCCAGACAGAAUUAUAAGCUAUCUACAACAUUUUCUGGUUAUGGAGGAAAAUGAGAUAUUAAAAUCAGAUCAUUUUUAGAGGUGUUGGAAAUAGUGUUGAGAUGCACAUGUGUGCAAUGGUUUAGUGUAUAAUUGUCUGGAAUUGGGGUAUUGAUCAUUUCAAGUAAUCUUCAAUUCUAUCUUAUCCUCUCCUGCCUGUUAUACUUAGGAUUUUUUGGGAGGUAUCUUGCGUCUGUUGAGAGAUGGCUUCAGGAGGAAGCUAUAUAUGUAUAUGACUUUAAGGAAGAAAUUAGUUGGAAUGCAGGUAUCUAAAAUCUACCUUCUUCUUGGGAAGGCCGACUCUUCAGGUCUUUAACUUGGAUGAUAUAAGUGACCUCCAGGAAAAGUUAGUGCCCUUCACCCUCCUUCCCCAUGGCCCCCACAGCCUAGAGCCCAGGGCCUAGUAUUCACAGAGGCUUAGUGAAGAUUCUGGCAAAAGCUGAAGGAGCUGCAAGCUGUUCAACACCACCAAGUUGAGACAGUGGAGCAACAACAAGUAUGUAAGAAAUGCAACAGUGCCUGAUCAUACACCAGUCUUCUGGAUGUAAACAUGGCUACUGCUUUAUUUCUGCUUUUUAAAUCUCACAUAAAUGUUGCAUGUGGCCAGCCCUAAUCUGAAACCAUACAAGGAAGGGAAUUUUGGGAAAUGUAGCUCCAGCUUAGCUAAAUUGACAUAAUACUAGGUUACCACACUGCCCCAUCUCUCCGACAUUGCCCACCACUCCAAUCACACCAACAUGUUUCUGUUCUUGGAAUUUCCACCUCAGAGCCUGUGUACUUGGUACUACUUCUGCUGGAAGUGAAGAAGUAUUUCCCCAGAUAUCUCCUUACAUAGCUUUUUCUUAUCAUUCACUUUUCCACCUUCAUAUUACCUCUUUCCCCUAUAUAAAGUAUUUCUUGCUCCUCAUUGCUCUCUAAAGUGAACGUUUUUAGUGGCUUGGCCAGCAUCAAUUCCUCCCCUCUCUUCUUACUAAUAGUAGGCAGAUCUUUUUUUCAGGCACCCUUUCCCAUGCAGCCCCUCUCUCCCUGCUCUGGUGCCUGCAUCGGUCUCUCACCACAUCCAGGUCCCCAACUGGCUUAAAUGAAUCAGAAGAUUUUAUUCCUGGCCUCAGUCAUUGAUACAGGCAUGAACACAAGACCUAAGCUAAUGAAUCCAGUCCCUUUUACUAGAAUGCUCUGAUGGAAGCCUUGCUGAACAUGAACUAAGAUGCAUUGGACCCUGACUGCUGACAAACAUCCUCCAACCCUGAGAACAUCAGCCCUAAGUUGAAGCCACCAUUUAUGGACUGAAGGAUAGAAAAGAGACACAUUAGUAGGAGCAACCCUUCUUCUCCUACCUGAGAAUAUUAGAUUCUCUCCUGCCUCUACUGAUGUAUUUACAAGGGACUGAUUAUCCUCAUCAGGAGCUUCUCCCAAAUACCUGCCAUCGCUUCUAGACCUAUUACUAAACUGAAGUUGCAGGCUCCAGAGAGCAAGUCUACAGGAUAUCAGAAUUCUAAGAAAAACUUGGAAAUCAUGUUCAGGACUAUACAGGACUUUAAAAGCUUUAUCUUCCCAAACUGAAAACCAGACCUCUCAAGUCUAGCUGCUCUCCUCCAGGUGCUGCAUAAAUGGACCUGGUCUUUGGCUACCUUACUUUGGAUCACUUGGUUGAAACAGUUCCCUUAGUCAACUUGUCCACUGGACUUAAGCUGUGGGACACAGAAAUUUUCCCUGGAAGAACAGAACAAUGAAGAUGAAUAGUUGAAAAAUGAGAGAAUCCUGCAUUCUAAAGGAUCUAGUCUGGAUGCCAGGAGCUGUGUAUAGGAUGAGAGCCUGGUGGACCUGAUUGACCGCCUGUUGUUCAGUUCAGUUCAGAGACUGAAAAUCAGGAUUUGUGCUGGAGAGUCUUUGAACUGUGUGUGAAAGUAUCUGAAGGUCCAUGACAAUUUGAAAGAAGGCAUAUGAAAAAGGUGCAGGAAUCGAAGGCACGAGAUACACCUGAAAGUGGUGGAGCAAUGAAUCUGAACAGGAUGAUGGAUUGAAAGUGCUCAAAAGAGGCAGCUAGGAUCCUGUAUUCAUGUCCUACCACUGCAGCCAGGGAAAGAUCCUCCCACAUCUAUCAGAAGACUGGAGGAUUAUGUCUGGAGAGAUUGAAUUCUAGGGAUGCUCAGGCCCAAAUGAAGGUUUGAGCACACAAUGAAAUGAGUUGAUAUUGACUGUUGGGAACCAGAGUUCUCAGUGGAUGAAGAGACACAGAAAAAUAAAAUGAAGGAAGGCAAAGAAGAUCUCUGAAGAGAUGGAUUGGAAUUGGAAGCAUUAGUAUGAACCAUGAUUCUAAAAUAGUUAUAUAUUGAUGUCUAUGCUUGUAUAUAUCCAGAAGUUUAUGUAUGUAUGUUUAAAUGUGUGUGUAAUAUAUAUGUAUACAUAUAUGUACACAUGUAUAUAUUUCCUAGCUUUGUCUACUGAAAGGGUCCACAAGCAAAAUCUUGUAGCGGAUCUUGGUCUCUAAGAUUGUUCCCUGUUAAAAAAAAAACAGGAUCCGUUGGAGAAAUUGCUGAUUCCAGUGCUGUAGCAGAAAAGGUAAUACAUGAUCCUAAAAUCAGUAGUCUCAUUCUGUUAGAUUACUGUGGGGUUCAGUAUGGUAGCCACUAGUCUCUUGUGCUAUUUAUUUAUUUAUUUUUAUUAUUAUGCUUUAAGU
rnacentral:lncRNA from 1 species